rnacentral:rRNA from 1 species
UUGGCCUCGAAUCAGGUAGGGAUACCCGCUGAACUUAAGCAUAUCAAUAAGCGGAGGAAAAGAAACCAACAGGGAUUGCCUUAGUAACUGCGAGUGAAGCGGCAAGAGCUCAAAUUUGAAAUCUGGCGCCUUUGGCGUCCGAGUUGUAAUUUGGAGAGGCAUCUUCGGGUGCGGCGCCGGCCUAAGUUCCUUGGAACAGGACGUCAUAGAGGGUGAGAAUCCCGUUCUCGGCUGGCUGUCCGCGUCCAUGUGAAGUGUCUUCGACGAGUCGAGUUGUUUGGGAAUGCAGCUCAAAAUGGGUGGUAAACUCCAUCUAAAGCUAAAUACUGGCGAGAGACCGAUAGCGCACAAGUAGAGUGAUCGAAAGAUGAAAAGCACUUUGAAAAGAGAGUUAAAAAGUACGUGAAAUUGUUGAAAGGGAAAGCGCUUGAGACCAGACUCGGCGGGAGGUAUUCAUCGUCCCUUCUGGGGCGUGCACUUGCCUCUCGUCGGGCCAGCAUCGGUUGCGGCGGCGGGAUAAAGACCCGGGGAACGUGGCUGCUCUCGGGCAGUGUUAUAGCCCCGGGUGUCAUGCCGCCUGCUGCGACCGAGGACCGCGCU